UACGGAGGGUGCAAGCGUUAUCCGGAUUCACUGGGUUUAAAGGGUGCGUAGGCGGGCAGGUAAGUCCGUGGUGAAAUCUCUGAGCUUAACUCAGAAACUGCCAUGGAUACUAUUUGUCUUGAAUAUUGUGGAGGUAAGCGGAAUAUGUCAUGUAGCGGUGAAAUGCUUAGAUAUGACAUAGAACACCAAUUGCGAAGGCAGCUUACUACACAGUUAUUGACGCUGAGGCACGAAAGCGUGGGGAGCAAAAGGG
rnacentral:rRNA from 1 species